CACCGGUGAGGAACUUCCUGGAAAAGUGGCCACUGGAAAAGGCGGGACUUCCGCCGUCAGCUGAGGGCGGUGCGGCGCUCGCUGCUCCUCCCUAUGCUCGCGGGCAGUCCCGGCCCGGCCCGGCGGCUCCCUCAGCCCCGCGGACAGCGCUGCUUCUCCGGGGCGCGUACAGGGGAGCGGGGUACUGGGGGCCAGGAGCGUGGGGCGCGAAGGGAGACGCGCCCGCCUGCCGGGGCCUCAGCCUCCUUCCACAGCCGCCUUACUCAGUCCCCGCUCAAGUGCUGCCUGGCCCGUGUCUGACCGAGCCGUGCGCGCCGCCCGGCCGAGGGCUCCUGCAUCACCUCAGCGCGGGGCGGGCACGCUGUGCCCACGUCCGGGCGGCAGGUCGUCUUUCUUUCGUGCUGCAGCAGGUGCGAAUCUCCGCGGCUGUUGUUUUACAUGAGGGCUGCCCUUGUGUCAGCUGUGCUUUGGUCAAACUUGGAAUCAGCUCCACCGUUUCAGUUUUCCUGUAAAUAUCGUACGUGUCAGCUGGGAUGGCUGUGGGAUUCCUCUGACACCAGCAGUGCCCUCCGCAGAAGUCGAGCGUACCGAGCACCCUGCAGAGCUCUGACGGCAGCGCAGCUCCUUGCUGGGGGAGCGCCGGGAGAAAAGGUCUAACAGCAACAGUCCAACUCUUCUGAUCCAGGCCAGGCAGAGGAGGGGGCUUUCUGCUUGCAGACAUCAGGACGCAGUGCUGUGGCAGUGAGCAGUGAAACAGCAAUAGCUCAGUUCCAGGACCCCUGCAGUGCCCAGGCUCUCAAUCCAGCACAGAAAGCGACGCCCAGGAGCUGCCCAUGACAAAAACAGCCCCAGCGCCAGCAAGCUCUGUCGUGCCAGGGCUCCCCCAGGCACCAGCUGAUGCUGGAGGUCACCAGCACCCACUGUGCUGCUGGAGGGCUGUGGGGGCAGUGGAGAGCAGCAGGACUCAGCUCCCCCCGCGGUAUCUCACCGGUGUUUGGCUGCUUUCCAGGGGCAGCGGUGUGCAGGCUGCGAGCAGUGCACCUGCAGAGGAACGCACGGGCUGCCCAUGCUCACAACACGCUCCUUUCCAAAUGUUAUUUGAAAAAA